UUUAGGAAAAAUAUUUUUAUCACACAGAUGAAUGUCUGAAUUACAUAUAUAUAACAUUGCAAGUAUUAUUUUUUGAUAGAGCAUGACCACACAUCAGCCCAAUAUUUAAUACCCCUGCAUUUCUUGAAUGUAAACUGGAGGAGAAAAGGGGAUAAUAAUUGUAUAAAAACAAAAUGGCUCAUUUUUAAUGGUAGUUCCACUUCAAAAUAGAUCCUCUUCCAUUAUUCUGCAAAUAUUCACACUAGUUGGUUUACAGCCAGAGAGAAAGAAAUAUUCAGAACACUCAAACGUGGCUAAUAUCUCCGUGUGUAUGGGGAUAUAUCAUAUUCAAAUGGCUGUUUGUGGAGGAACUGUUCAAGCAACCAGUUAAAAACAGGUUCUGGGUAUUCAGAAGAAAUACCAGAAAACUUGAGCAAUAAGGUAUGCAGGUACAACAGCCUGCUUUCCAAGGAGAGCAGCAAACAAUUAAUGAGAAAUGCAUUGGGUGAAAACUCUUAUCAGCCACUUCUGAAAUAAUUGCAAGUAUGUUUGCAAAACUCUGAGCAUAUUCAGUGACAAUUUGAAAAGUGAGUAUGAAGCUCAAUUCAUUAAAUAAGUUAAUUAUUUCAAAUAGUUCAACCUUUUCCUGUAAAUCAGAAUCUGAAGAAAGCAGCCAUGGCUUGGGAGGCAUUUCAGUACAGCAUGGCUUUUUCUUUGCUGGUGAAUGGCGCCUUCUUGUUUACAUAGGGUGUGAUAGCUCUAGGACUUCUCUCUGUACAGUCCCUCCUUACUUUGUGAAGGUUUUAUAACUGUAUGAAAUGGACAAUUUAAACCCACAGUAAAGCAACAACCAGGGACCUACACCCUCUUUUAUCAAUAUGAUGAACAAAAAUGGCUUAUGUGGCUCAUCUUUACUCAUGAAGGACCCCAAAGAAGACUGCUGUUUGGACCACUCUACAGCCCUGUGAGGCUGCCAUGCAGUACCCUGGAGUUACCUGGUGUCUUCUUCCCGCUGCACCAUCGGCUGCCAGGCACUGGUGGCCAUCUCCUCAGAGGGGCUUUAGCAGUCAUUUCCUCAGUAGAGACCUGGUGACCAUCUCUUCAGAGGAGCAUUUCUUCAGCAGGGCAGUGCCCAUCUCCUCAGCAGGCCCUAGAGCCCAUUUCCCCAGCAGGCCGUUGGCAUCCAUCUCCUCAACAAGGCAGCGCCCAUCUCAGGAGGACCCUGCUGGUCAUCUCCUCAGAGGGGAGCUGGCACCCAUUUCCUCAGCAGGGCCCUGUUAGCCACCUCCUCAGCAGGCCCUAGCAGCCAUUUUCCCAUAGCAACAGUGGCAUCCAUCUCCUCAACAAGUCAGUGUCUAUUUCCUCAGUGGGCCCUGAGGGCCAUCUCCUCAGCAAAGCAGUACCCAUCUCCUCAGCACACGCUAGCAGCCAUUUCCUCAACAGGGCAGUGCCCAUCUCCUCAGGACCUGCUAGUAGCCAUUUCCCCACAAUGUCGUUGGCAUCCAUCUCCUCAACACAGCCGCGCCCAUUUCAGCAGGGCCCUGGCAGCCACCUCCUCAGCUGGCAGCAGUUGCACCUCUUCAGCGGGGCACCAGCGCCCAUCCCCUCAGCAGAGGCACCUAUCUGUGGCGUCAGGCGCCUCCCGAAAACCCCUUGGGGGGUUUGAUGGGGGACGUGUGAGGUGCGGGGCGCCUCUGCCCCCUGUGAGCCGCCAGCAGCUGGAGCAAAACUCGGGGCGGCAGCAGCGGGGCCGGGCGAGCGGACGGCCCGGCGCUCCCCGUCAGGGGGUGCUCGAGGCUCUGCCCCCCGGGGAGGCCGCGGGGGCGGUCAGUCACGGCGCCCCUUCCCCGCGUGAGGGGAGCUGAGCCCCUGGCAGCGCCCCCAGGCCCCAAGGAGCAAAUGAGGCGGCAGAGGGUGCAGGUGAGCAGCUCCGGGUUAGGAAGGGCCCAGCGCACCUGGAACCAUCCUCAGCGUGGAAGAUGCAGCUGCGGGGGCUGUGUUAGCUCAACGCAGUGCUGCUGCUGUGGUGACUAAAGGGAAUGUGCUGCCUGCUCCGAGCUGGGUCCUGUCACGGCUCUCUGCCUCAUAACGAUGGCAUGGACUGGGGAAAAUCCCAGCAGCUGUGAUGAACAUGCAAAGAAGAGGCUUUAGCACAACAGCGCUUUGUCCAACCACAGACAUAAGCCUGGGCCUUGCUGCAGGCCCUUGCAUGCUGCAAGGUGCCGUGCAGAGAAGUGACAGCCUUGCUCAAGUCCUGCAGCAUGGCGGGAGGCCUGCAGCUUUGCGUCCGAAUGUGGCCUUCAUCCUCCAUACCCCUGUGCUGCAAGCAGUCAGCUGAAACAGGACAGGUGCUGGUGCCUCCUUGAACGCUUGAUGGCCAACACAUGGCUUUCUGAGGAAUGGAAAAAGACAAAGCUGAAGGUGGCCAGAAGUCUGCAGGCCAGGAUGAAGAGAUUAUUGCCAGUAUGUCACUGGCUGGAACAGAGGAGCCAAAGAUCAUAUGUAAUCUCCAUUUCUCUACAACUACUAACGAAGUUGAGAACACGAGGACAAUGAAACUGUCCUGAGGCUGUCUACACAAGUCAUACAGGGAUAGCAGGCCAGCAGACAGACACCUGAGCUACUGAAGUGACACUCAGAGGUAAGUGCUGAGCAUCUGUCCAGGUGCGGAGCUGACACAGGCUACCUCUCUGUUCAACACAUUUCUCA